rnacentral:miRNA from 1 species
AACCUCAUCAACCAGAAGGGAUUCCUUCUGGUUGAUGAGGUAUAACAACCUCAUCAACCAGAAGGGAUUCCUUCCGGUUGAUGAGGUA